rnacentral:rRNA from 1 species
UACGUUCCCGGGCCUUGUACACACCGCCCGUCACACCACGAAAGUCGGCAACACCCGAAGCCGGUGGCCCAACCUCAGGGAGGGAGCCGUCGAAGGUGGGGUUGGCGAUUGGGGUG